rnacentral:rRNA from 1 species
UCAAAUCAGGCAGGACUACCCGCUGAACUUAAGCAUAUCAAUAA